AGCAAAUGUGCCACGUCAAGACUGGAAAUCACAGCCCUUGAGUGUGUCUCAGUCAGCGCAGCAGAAUUCAGGGGGGAAAGCUGAAUGCAACCCCUGGUGCAGGAAGGGAGGCUUUUCCUGAGGACCGGGAGAGGAUUUUAAGUACAUAGAAGGAAGCUUCUGGAGAUCCUGCUCCGUCGCCCCAGUGUUCAGACUACCUGUUCAGGACAAUGCCGUUGUACAGUAGUCUGCACAUUGGUUUUGCACACUAGGGACCAAGAAGCCCUCGGGGACACUGCUGAGAAAAGACUGCCGAAGGGAAGACCAGCGGGUAAGGCCUUCUUGACUGCUCACCUGGUCUGUGACCAAGGGAACCUAGGUGGGGAGCCCAUGAUUUGUGUUAACAUGCAAGGGAAACAGAGGUACAUGUGUGAUGGGUAGAGAUGUAUUUAAUUUUAAAAGAGCAAAAGUGUGUGGUAUAUAGCGAUUUACUGUUUUUUUUUUUUUUAUUUCUGAAGAUUGAUAAUUCAAGUGUUUUCUUAAAGGUUUUCCCACUUCAAAAUGAAAUAUGAAAAAACUCAUUCCAGACACUUAAGAAUAGUUUAAUGAGGCUACUUUUGAAUUGUUUAAUAAUAAUUCAAAGAUUUAAAAACUUAUAUGGAUGAAGGCUGUAUGUAUAACUUUUAACAUCCCAGGACUGAAGUCAUUUUUCCCCAAAGUAAAGAAUACUUGCUGGUUUUUAAAUGCUAUAUGGAUAGUGCUUUUCUGAAGAUUUCCUUCUGUAAUAUAAACAACAGGAAUAAUAGUACCUAACAAUAAAAGAAGAACCUGCCAAGUCUUGCCUACCAGACAAUGCAGAUGGGAUUUGCCCAGAGAAGAGCACCGACCCACAACUUAUUGAGUCAGCAACUGAGUAAAUCAGGGAAUAAAAACCUCUAUCUUUAGAUACCCCUGUAAAUAUCUGUUUUACAUUUUUUUUAAAUCAAAGAGUGGUUAAUAAUUGCUGCUCAGCUGAGCCCUCUUGCCUAUAGCUUACAAUGCUUCCACUUCUCUGAGCAUUUAAAAUAAGGCACUUUGUCUAGAAACCCACUGAUAAAAAAGGAAUUUGUAAACGAAGGCAGAAGUUUUCUUUGGUCAGUUUCCAGCUGUCCUGGAGGUGAAAGAGGGUGGGAGAGGGGGAGGAAGGUGGGAGGGAAGAAAACCCUCAAGCUGAAUGAAAUCCUAAUAGAGAAAAUAAUAGAGCAAGUCUGGAUUGCAAUGUGAUCUGUGCUGAACUUUAGAGGUCGGCCCCUUAAAGAAAGUUCUGGAAAAAUGUUAUUGCCUCAUCCCUAAUUUUCUUAACCCCCAUUAAUUUCUAUUCCGAAACAAUUCUAUAUAAUGAAAACAUCUCUUCUACAGGGUUUGUGAAAAAUAAACAUAAUCUCUUUUGUCCUCCUUUAAAGUUACAGUGGUUCCUGAACAAAUUCUUUUCUAAGUUAUACAUUUUGCAACAAUUCAAAAAUUGACUCAAGUUCUCUUUAGCAAAAUAUUUUAUUAUAAAAGAUUCCCUAAGUUUUCUUUUGUCAAAACAACUUACUUUAAAAAUUACCCUUCUGAUCACCCCAAAAUGUGUAUAAAGAAAACAUUAAGUAUUCUCAUAUAUUCAUGAUUAUUAGUUAAAAUAUAAACAGCAAGGAGAAAUUUAGCUACUUUCACUUAGAUGAUAUAGUAAAGUUAUCCUUUCAUUUUCUAUUGUGACUUGGAGAGUUCCAUAUUAAUUAUUUUUAGUAGAACAAAUGAGAUGUUAAAAAUCUAUAUAGUUUCUUUUACAUAAGAAAACUAAAAAAAGUAACUUAGAGGAGCUCAUUUUUUCAAGAAAUAUAUUUUUUCUAAUUGAUACAAUUACUGAAGAGGAAAAAUAGCUAACAAGGUACUUUGGUAAUGUUUUUCUCAAAUUUUCUGGGUUUUUUUUUUUUUUUUACUCUAGAAAUGAUUACAUUUCAAAAUUUGCUUUCAUUUAAUGUAUAUUUAAUUUCAAUUUCUUUCUUCAUGUUAAACGGUCUUUUUGUUUCAAAGAAAUGAAUCCCUAUGGGUCCCUCACCUAUUUUCUCCCUCAGGAUGACUUUUAGUCUGGAGAUAGAAGGGACAUAAGGGUGCCUCUGGCAUAAGUACAGGAGUAGAAAUAUAAGAAUUACUUUGUAAAAGGAUAACCAAGGAGUUCCUGCACAUGCUUGAUGUGGCUCUAGCGACUUAUUUUCGAGGCAAAGUUUUAACAAAUGAAAACGAAUAGUACUUAUUUUUCAAUUAUAUGGGCUAAAUUAAAGAUCAAAGGUAAAAGCUCAUUUUAUAAAGCUCUGCUGAAUGAAGGCAGGAUUGUAGUUUAUGCGCUGGUACACACGCCCACAUUUAUAUACAUUAUAGCCAUAUCUAUAUCCAGGUAAAUUAGAAAAAUGUUUAAUUUUAUUUUCAUAUUACUUUAUAAGGAGAUAUACAAAUAUUUUAGGGAUCAUGGAAUCUAUUCCAGAGGAAACUAACCAACAGUGAGCAUCUUCAACUAAAACUACCCCUGGAUGUAAUAAGUGUAAGUAUUAAAAUUAAACAUUAUAUGUGGUCAUGAAGAGAAAAUUGUUUCAGGGUCUGUCCAAACUACACUUCAUAGAAAUUUCAUAAUUAUUUUUCAUUUUAGCAUGUGAAUGAUUGAUAAAUUGGACUAGGUACUGGGUUAAAAGGACUUUUCCACCAUCUAAGAGAAAGGAAGUUCAGAGCCUUAGCUUCAACACCACAAUUUCUUAACUGGAAAAGGAUCAAUCUAAAACGGUGGACUUAAAUUUUCAAACUCAUUUUUCUUUUAGGCCACAGAUCUCAAAAUCAAAGAAAGACUGUUUACUAUAGGACAAAGUUUCACACUGAUCACUUUCCUGUAGUUAGUCAAUAGGCUUAAUAUCCUUCCUGCUUGGCAUUCGGGCUUUCGGCCCAGAUAAUAUGUUUAUGUUUGUAAAAGACCAAAAUAUACUAUCUACCCCCACCUCUCGCCUACAGACCACCCAUGUAUUUCACUCUGUGGGAAACAGUUUAGGCAUAAAAAUCCUAACGAAAGAAUUCUCCCCACUUUUUUGGUUGAAGUCUUAAGCUGUUAUAAGAUAUAAAAAGUACAACUUGGUAAUGUGAAAAAAUUCACUCAUCCACAAGCAUCCAUGCUCGGUAAAGAGACGCCAAAGCUUUCACUUACUCUGUAAGGGAUCUGCUCUUUAUAAACAAUGCACUUUACUCUGCUCUAAGGAGAAUAGCCCACCCAUCACAAUAACGUCAAAAUAAUAACUAAGAGACCAUCACUCAGAAAUCCUGGCUUAAAAUAACUAGAAGGUCAGGCUUUAACCUGAGACAGGAAAUUCCUGAGUUAAGAUAGAAACUUUCUUACUUCAAAUCCCUUCUUACUUUCAUGUUCUGUAAAUUAAGUAGAAAUAAAUAUUUACUCAUUUUCAAAGGUCUCUUACAAAUAAUUUUUAUCAGUUUUAAUAGUUAGAGAUAACGAAGUAAAUUAGGAAAAAUAAUUAAAUCUUCAUUUUGAAUUUUUUGACUUAGCGUGACAGCCAGUUUCCUGGAGUUGCUUUGGUUUAAUUUCACUACAGAAGACUUAGAAGACAAUUCUUUUCUUACAUUUUUUUCCUUAAGAAAUAAAAGACAAAAAGAAAACAAGGUGUAAUAACCACACUAAAAAUUACAUGGUAUGAUAAUAAUACAAAUAGCUCUUUUAUGUUUUAGCUAGUAUUUUAAGUAAUAAUAAACUAAUAUUCAACCUAUAAUUUGGGAGAUUAAAAAAAGGUCAAUAUGGUUUUCAGUCUUUCAUCUUUUUAACAAGUUUAGGGGCAGGUUCAACAUAACAAUGAAGUGUGCAUAUGUCACAUAGUUACUGUAAGUGUGUUUUAAAAAUCUAUCAGAAACAUAAAUUGUCCAAAAGCCUUAUGAAUAGAACAAUUGUUUUCAGCAAGAUUUUUUUUUUCCCCUGAAAAACUGUUGUGGUUUUUCUGGCUCAAAAAAUUUUUAUAUCUUGCCUUAAUAAAACUGUUUUAUAUUAAAGCAUAACAUACAAACUCACAAAUAUUUCUUUUUAUUUUUUCAGGUUGCAUGCAUCAUUCCUUUAAUUGAGCAGAGUUAACUGGAUCAAAUUAUUUAUGGGAGAGAGAGGAAAAGUUAUAAAGAAUUAUAGUAAUUUUUAAUUUCCACCAAUAUACUCUUUGUAAGUGAAUCACUCUAUAAUUACUUUCUGUUGCACUGAAUGCAGCAACAAUAACACAAUAGUAUUUUAAGGCACUGGUUUUUGGCAUACUCUAACCUUGUAAUUAUUUAAAUAACAGCCAAGUUUACUCAUGUUUUUGAUUCUGUCAAGAAAAAAAAAAAGUUCCUUUACUCGAAAGUGAUGGCCGAAACAGAAUCGGAAAUUUGUUUUCUUGAAAUUACAUAAAUACACAGAAAAUGGCACUUAUUAGCUUUUGUUAAAACAUUACCUUACCUAAUCACUGCAUAAAAGUCCAGAUUUGUAGAAAAUUGUAAUUUUCUCAGUAUCUAAAACUAUUUUGCUUUCCAUUAAGUUUCUAUUUGCUAUUUUCUCAGAAUUUUACAAUUAAAGAUAAAUCACAAACUGUUUGUUUUUCUUAAAGUUCUUUGAGAAAAUGUCUAAUUAUACAAUCCUUGGACAAUACUGUGUUUUUUUGGUGCUGUGUUUUUUAAGAAGUCCUACUUACUGGAAUUUUGACUAUUUGGAUAUUUUUGUUUUUAAAAGGGGAGGGGAAUUUGCUUAAUACUUCUAAAGAUGUGAAUUGAUAAUUGAUAUUAAAAUAGAAUUACUCUCAACUCACCAGAAUUAAAUUUUAUAUCUGCAUAUUUAACACUAUUAGCUCAUAUAAAUUAUAAGAAAAAUUUUCAAAGGAUCUGGUUUUAAUUUUUUGGAUAUGAAAUGAAUUUGCCUUUUCUGCCUUUUCUUAAGUACUAUUUUGUAACUAUAUUGCACUAACUAUAUCCAAAACACAUUCUGAGCAUCACUGUGAGUAACAGCCUUCCAGUUUGUACCCUUUUGAUUCACAGCAUGGCCCUAUAGUUAAUUAAGAGGUGGAUAACUUAAGCUCACAACUGCCUUUAAUUUGAUUUCACAUCCACAGUUAUAAACUUUGCAUUUAAAAGGAAAAUGAGACAUUUAAAUAGGUUCCUGUUGUUUCACAUAUAAUUGGUAAAAACAUAUUCCCUUGUAGGAUCCUAUUAUCAGAGCAUCAAAUACCAAAGUCAGCAACUUGGGUUGCCAAAUAAAUUAGGCUCAUUAAUUAUUUUGAAAAGGGCUGCUGUUUCCAUGUAAAUGAUAAUUUUCUUUUUCAUGGACAAGGUUAUGGUACUUAUCUACUAAAAGAAACAUGCAUAAACAUAGUUUUUAUCUUUAACUUCAGUAUUAAAAUAUGCAGUUUUUUGCAAAGAGGAAAAACAUCUGGUUCAAUUACGCUGAACUCUGACUACAUGUGGGCCAGUAAUAAUAUGAAUUGGACUUAAGAAUAAACCUUGUGUUUAAUCUCUUUUUUUCCUUAAAAUUUUAAUGUGAGUUUUCUGUUACGCAAAUUAUCCAUGUUAGCACAUUUGGAACAAAUGUAUAAAUGUACUUUCUGAAUAAAGUCAAAAGUCUAACUUGUUUUUAGUUCCAUAAUGUUUUAAUGUUUAAUUAUAUUGUGUAUUUUUCUCCCUUUCCCCUUACUCUCCAAAAUCACCAAAUCUGGAAAACAGGCUGAUUGUAUCUGUCUAUGAGCAAAGGAAACCUGAAGGAACCAAGGGCCUGGCUGGACAGAGUUGUCAUGUGUCUGCCUGUCUACACUUGCUGUGCAGAACAUCCGCUCACCUGUACAGCAGGCACAGACAGGCAGUCACAUGACAACCCAGCCUGAAUGACAACCAGCCAUUGAAAGAAAGCAGCCCUCACACCAUAGCAUCUACACCAAGAGCUACAACCAAAAUGAGGGGCUCGGGGGCCUGGGGUUUUAAUCUGUUGGUUUAAUACUUAACUCAUGUAUUAUUUUAUUUUGAUUCAAGUAUUAAAACCCACCAAAAGUAAAGUGAGUGGUGCCUAUGAAAUAUAAUAAAACCCAUUUCUGAAAAUGUUCCUGUGCAUUCUAUAGUUCUCUUUUCCUAAUUGUUGUCAGCAAAUCACUACCCUUGACCUUUAUUGUACACAGCUUUGCAGCACCCUAUAUUGAUAUAAAAACUCAAUAUAACAAAACAAUAUAACUUCAGUCUGAUGCUUAACAAAGAAUAAAUUAUUCUAAGAAUUCUUGUCCAUAAACUAAGUAUGGUUUUCUAUGUCAUGAUUUUUUUUUUUUUUUUUUUUUU
rnacentral:lncRNA from 1 species